CCUUCCCUGUCGGCCUUCUCUCCGCCUGGAGGUCCUGCAUAUCUGUGUGCGUAGAAGGUCCCCUCUCCUUCUCCCCGCUGACUUGAGGCAGCAGGAUAACUAGGGUCCCCGCACCUCCUCCCUGCAGACGUGCGCACACCCCAUGGGGUCCCUAUCCACCCCUCGCCUCUGCGCCCCACGUCCUCCGAGUGGCACAUGGCAGGACAAGGCAGUGCCCUGAGGCCCGCGGACCCCACCCGGGCGUCUCUAGCAAGCCCACUGCCAUGCUGGAACUCCAACGAGCUGAUGCCCCAACUCCCGAAGGCUCCACAGGCCUAGUGUGGCUCUCACGGACCUGUGUCCGCUGCCGCCGCGGGUGUGACACCAAGUGGCUUGAGCGGCCUGAGGCCUCGCAAGAGGAGGCGACUACCCAGAGUCUGCGUGACCUGGGAAGGUCGGGUGCCAAGCACUGGACUCGCAGACCAUGUCACUGCAAUCUGCACGCUCUGAACCCCUCUGUCCACUCCUCAGGAAUGACAUCCCCUCUACCUCAGCCCUCAACCCACCCCCUACAGCCUUCCUCUUCCCUGGAUGAGAAGGCAGCUUCUCUGAAUCUUUGGCAGGGGGAUGACCAAGAGUGUAUGAGGCAGGGAGAUGGCCAGGAGUGAGAGUAGGUCCUCAUGGACAAAGGGGGCUGGGGAGAGGGCUCCAUAGUUCAGAUCCACCGCUGUUCUUCCAGGAGAUGAAAAAAUAUAACAUAAAAGCAAAAUUCUAGGCCUUUAGGCCCAGCCUUGAGAAUGUGACCUCUGUGACUCAAUGUUCCAAGGUAUGCUAAUCAUAAAACCAAUAGCAACAUUCCUCCACCCACCCGCUUUUCUGGGUUCAAGGAGUGUUCAUUCAAAGAAAGUCACCCUGACCCACCCUGACCAUUGCUGGAACCCACUAUGCAAAUGUGCUAUUGUUAGGGGCUCUUAGAAACUGUCUUGAGAAAUAAACCUGUACAAUUACCAGGUAUUCCUUGUGACUUUGCACUUCCUUGUGACUCUUAACUGGUAAUUCUGGUAUUUUCCAACAACGCCCUCCCCACCUCCUUGAGUUGUGGUUUCUUCCUUUAAAUACCCCCUUACCCAGCUACUUGGGGCGCCAUGGUCCUCUACCCCUGCAUGGUGUAUGACCGUGGGCCCGAGAGCGCUCUUGAAUAAAAGUCCUCUUGCAGUUUGCAGCAA